NNAACAAACGUGAGGUGUGGAGGGUCAAGUUCACCCUGGCCAAGAUCCGCAAGGCUGCCCGGGAGCUGCUGACGCUGGACGAGAAGGACCCGCGGCGGCUGUUUGAAGGUGAGGGAGUGUGCGCGAGCCCACGGGAGGGACACUGGGUGCGGGGCGCCGCCGGCCUCCCUCGCGCCUCUGCUCGUCCGUUGGUCAAAGGUCUGGGCCGAGCGGGGGGAGCCCACCUCUGACCCUGAGUGGAAGUCAUCUGUGGGAAAAGUGGGUCUGGGGCCAAAUCCCCUUUUCUGUAAGCGUGUGACGCGGGGCUCCCCAAGCAUUGCCUGCUUUUAUAAGGUGGUCAGCGGUGUUUUCCAAAAGCCUGAACGGGAAGGCAGCCUGUAGGGUGAUGAUUUGGGAAGGGAAUGCAGAUCAUUUGGGAACUUUACCACCUUUCCAGAGCAACAGCUGAUUUCAAUCACCUUAUGAUUUUCUUGUUUUUCAGGGUUGUAAGAUGGCAAUAAUGUUAAAGUAGCUGGAGUUUUAUUUUUCUGAGUUUUUUAGAUUUGUUACUUAAUCUGCAGGACAGCUUCCUAGGGGUAGCUUAUGAUACAUUUUACAGGUGAUCCUCUCGUAGUGGGUCCAGACAAAACUCAGUGAUGGGGUGGACUGAGAAGAGUUUGCAGGAAGCUUAGAGAACAUGACCAACAGUUGAAACAGUAUCUGAAUGUGAAAGAAGUCAGAGUAUCUAUCCCACAAUGGCUUGUGAAAGCUUCUGUCACAAGUGUACAGGUCACUUGCUCUGUGUUAACUCUUAAAGUUGGGCUGCCUGGAAGCUCUCCUCCUGAUACUGCUUUUGGCCUGAGCUCGGGGACACUUGGUUUCUAGGGGGGGCUGGGAAUCAUGUUUUGCUUGUUUCUAAAUUUUUGAUUUCUUUUCCAAUCUAUAGCUGAGAAGGAAACUGCUUUUACAUUUGAGCCUUCACCGUUAUGGUUGGGCGGUCAGUCAUCUUAGAGGUUGAGAAAGCUCUGGAGCUUGUUGAACCAUCACUGAUAGAUCACGUGAUCAUGAAAAUUCAGGAAUCCCCUCCCCUGUGGAUGCCUGGGUGGGACUUGAUCUAAAAGUCUUUGUGGAGCCAGCCGGUUAAUUAAGGGCAGAGGGACCUUCUGAAGAUCAAGCUACUCCAACCCAUGGUCAGAUACGCAGUCCUGUGGCUGACCGGGCAGGUGAACCCAGAGUAUUUGUGGUUUCCCGUGGCAGAAGUGGACUUUACUGGGGAAGGCAGCCCAUAGGUUUGUAGGCAUUUAGUAAACGAAGGUGUUUAGCCCGACUGGACAGGAAGGAGCCUGCAGGCUCUCUGCCUAUCCCUGGAGGUGUUUGUCACUGGUCCAGCCUGAGGUCUAGCCUUCCCCACUAAAGGCAAGUGACUGGGUGAGAAAGUGUUCUGAUUUUUAUUAAAAAGGCUUUGACUCUUAAACUAGUUGCAGCCAGCACUUGGCUGGGAGCGGUUUGUGGCUCCAUCCCCACGGCAGCUAUAAAGAAACAGGUAUAACAUCCAUUUUUCAGAUCAGAAACUAAGGCAUUUUAAUGCUUGCUUCGUGCCAUUAGGACGAGGAAAGGCCUUUUAAUGAUAGUGGUUUUAUUUUACAUAGAAAUUUCUAAAGAGAUUCUAAAAUUGAUGUCAAGUUUCUGUUCUCUAGCAUGAGGACAAAAAAGGCAAAAAGUAUCCUAGCUGGUAGAUAAUCCCAAACUAGUUUUUGUGUGGGGGCAUUUUUUGUAUUAAUAUUUGAAUAAUGUCUUUUUUUAACCAAGGUAUAAUUCACAGACUAUAUGUAGUUUUUAGAUGUGUGGUGUGAUUCGAUAUUUCUGUGUACCAUGAAAUGAUCAUAAUAAGUGAUCUAAUUCAUUUCUGUCACUAUCUGUAGCUUAAAAAACGUUUUCUUGUAAUGAGAUCUUUUAAGAUGUACUCCAUUGGUGCAGCAACUCUUGACUCAGGGUUGUGAAUUCUAGCCUCACGUGAGGUGCAGAUAUUAUUUGAGAAAUAAAGUCUUAAAGAUGUGCUCUCUUGACAACUUUCUCGUAUACAGUGAGUAUUGUAACUGGAAUGUGGUACUUUUUGACCACAUUCACCCACUGCCCCUGUGACUCCGGCAACCACCAUAAUGUACUCUGAGUCUGCGAAUUUGGGGUAUUUCUGUUGAUGGUAGCUUUGUGUGGAUUCCAUGUAUAAAUGAGAUCAUGGCCUUUGUCUCUGACUCCACUUGGCAUGGACCUCGGGGUCUGUCCGUGCUGUUGCAGGUGCUAAGAUUUCAUUCUUUUUUAUGGCUGAGUAAUCGCCCGCUUUGUGGGUGCCGCAUCUUUUACCCGUUCAGCUGUCAUUCGGUGAACACUUAAAGUUGUUUCCAUGUCUUGGCCACUGCAAAUAAUGCUACAGAGAGCGUGGGGGGAGCUUCCCUUUUCCAGUUAGCGCGUUCGUUUUCUUUGGAUAAAUAUCCAGAAGUGACAUUGCUAUGUCAUCAUAGUUCUGGUUUUGACUUCUGAGGAAACUCCAUCCUGUUUUCCAGACUGGCUGCACCAAUCUCACAUUCUCUUUUAAAUUUAACGUUUGUUCAUUUUUGAGAGACAGAGCAUGAACAGGGAAGGGGCAGAGAGAGGGAGACACAGAAUCUGAAACAGGCUUCAGGCUCUGAGCUGUCAGCAGAGCCCAACGCAGGGCUUGAACUCACGAACUGCGAGAACCUGACCUGAGCCAAAGUCGGGUGCUCAACCAACUGAGUCACCCAGGCGCCCCUACACAUUCUCACCAACAGUGCAUGAGGGGAGGGUUCCCUUUCUUUACAUUUUCACGGACUGUUUUUUUGUCUUUGAUACUGUUUUUGGCAGGUGUGAGGUGACAUCACUGUCGUUUUGAUUUGCAUUUCCCUUUAUCCUGAGAGCACAAGCCAGGGGAGGGGCAGAGAGGGAGAGAAUCCCAAGCAGGUUCUGUUAUCAGCACGCAGCUGGCUGCAGGGCUCAGUCCCACAAAUCGUGAGAUCAUGACCUAAGCCAAAAUCAAGAGUCAGAGGCUGAACCAAUUGAGCCACCCAGGCACCCUGGUAUCACGGAUAUCUUAGGUUGAGCAUUUGUUAGAGUGAAGAACUAAGCCAUACUAGGACUUGGGAUAUUGGGAAAGGUAGAGUGUGUUUCUCCAUUUUGAUCGUCUUUCUCCAUUAGCUGUGCUAGAAAGACUGCAGUUUUCCAGGGGCAAGGGGUCAUGAUGCCAAGAAUCCGGGAUAGUACAGAGAGCUUCCUUGAAUUGUCUUGCUGUAAUGAAUGAUAAGGUCACUUGACGAGAAGUGAAACUAAUCCUUUUUAAGGAAAAGCAAAGUUGGGCUUUUACCCCAGUGUCAUGGUGUUAGGCUAUGAGCCUGUGUGAGUAUGAACUCUGGGGACAGGGUUUGCCUCCGGGAUCCCAAGUCCUGGCCACUGUGGAGUGGUCAGGGGCUAUGGGCAAAUUGCAAGGCCUCCUGCACCUGGGGUUACUGGCAGAAGGGCAUGACUUCAUGCCAUUGUUGGCAUGAACACACCAUAAUUUCUCAGCAGGAAACCACAGAUAGAAUGGUAGAGCAUAUGAUGUACUCCUUAAACGUGUGCCCAGUCUGAGGCUUCUAGGGCCUAGAGGCUAAGUGCUGACAGCCCUAUAUUGUCAGGGAAGGCGGUUGAGCCUCAGAUUUGACUGACUAGUAGCGGUUUCUUGACUCCAGGUUAGGUCUUGACCGCUGCGCUUCAUUGUGGUUAGCAGCCGCAGCACCUAGUCUUUGGGGGCGGUGGGGAGUGGUUAAGUCCUGGCAGGAUUGUCUCAUUACUCUCCUGACAGCUCACGGAAGGUUCUGUUCCUGGUUUCAGAGAACAAAGGUAGGUGUGGUCACCUGCCCUCCUUGGUAAGACAGGUAGGUGUUACGUGGUUGUGAGGAUUGUAGGAGCCACACUGUGGCCACUGUGUUGGAUCUUACAUCAGAGUCAUGGGCCCUGCUUCCCACUCACAUCCCACCUCCAUGCUAGGGAGCUCCCAAGAAGUCUGAAGUGAGCCGGAAGCCCGAAUGCGUGCUUCCUUCCCCUCCUACCAGGUAACGCUCUGCUGCGGCGACUCGUGCGCAUUGGGGUGCUGGACGAGGGCAAGAUGAAACUGGAUUACAUCCUGGGCCUCAAGAUCGAGGAUUUCUUAGAGAGGCGCCUGCAGACCCAGGUCUUCAAGCUGGGCUUGGCCAAAUCCAUCCACCAUGCCCGCGUGCUGAUCCGCCAGCGCCAUAUCAGGUACUCCCUCUGGGCUCCCGGAGUCUCUCUUCCACCCCUUCCUCUCCUCUGGUGGUUGCCCUCGCUGAGUUUGCUGUCCUUACCUCCUGUGCAGCCCUCGGAGGUGACGGGUGUGAACAUACCUUGAGGGUACAGGUAGACCCAAGCAGAGAGCUCAUGGGGUGCUGGG
rnacentral:lncRNA from 1 species